CGUGCACGCGUCGAGGGCGACAGAAAAAAACAAAAACAUGAGACACACACACGCACACACACGCCUCGGGAACUCGCACAGUGGAACAGUGCCAAUCAACCAUCAAUUUGCAUUUCACUAUAAAGCAAGGGCCUCAGCUCAAGUCUUCUUUAAUGCUCUAGCGGGGAAGAAAGAAAUGUCACCUUGUUCCUGGAUGGCUUAAGGUAACGGCAGCGAGUGUGAAGAGCACUGGACUCUGGGGCUCAGUUUUAUGGAUCACUCCUACAGUUCUGGAACCUAAAACAUCAACAGCAGAAUGGGCUGACAGGUGGCUGAAUGCGACACACAUACACAAACACAUGCAGGCAUGCACAAGACAGCAUGGAAGCAGAAACGUGGGUGGAUUUGUGGGAAUUUAAGUUUUAAACAAUUAGUUCCUUUCAGUUUUUUUUUAAUGUUGUGAUCUUUUAGCCUUGUUAUGAA